rnacentral:rRNA from 1 species
GGAUGCGAUCAUACCAGCACUAAAGCAUCAGAUCCCAUCAGAACUCCAAAGUUAAGCGUGCUUGGGCGAGAGUAGUACUACGAUGGGUGACCUCCUGGGAAGUCCUCAUGUUGCAUUCC